rnacentral:rRNA from 1 species
GAUGAACGCUGGCGGCGUGCUUAACACAUGCAAGUCGAACGAAGCGCUUGGAGGGAAUCCUUCGGAAGGAAGCUCAAGUGGCUGAGUGGCGGACGGGUGAGUAACGCGUGGGUAACCUGCCUCAUACAGGGGGAUAACGGUUAGAAAUGACUGCUAAUACCGCAUAAGCAGCCGCUAUCGCAUGAUCGAGUGGGAAAAACUCCGGUGGUAUAAGAUGGACCCGCGUUGGAUUAGCUUGUUGGUGGGGUAACGGCCCACCAAGGCGACGAUCCAUAGCCGGCCUGAGAGGGUGAACGGCCACAUUGGGACUGAGACACGGCCCAGACUCCUACGGGAGGCAGCAGUGGGGAAUAUUGCACAAUGGGGGAAACCCUGAUGCAGCGACGCCGCGUGAAGGAAGAAGUAUCUCGGUAUGUAAACUUCUAUCAGCAGGGAAGAUAGUGACGGUACCUGACUAAGAAGCCCCGGCUAACUACGUGCCAGCCGCCGCAGUAA